rnacentral:rRNA from 1 species
CUUUGGGAUAAGCCUGGGAAACUGGGUCUAAUACCGAAUAUGACCGCGCUCUUCAUGGGGUGUGGUGGAAAGCUUUUGCGGUGUGGGAUGGGCCCGCGGCCUAUCAGCUUGUUGGUGGGGUAAUGGCCUACCAAGGCGACGACGGGUAGCCGGCCUGAGAGGGUGACCGGCCACACUGGGACUGAGAUACGGCCCAGACUCCUACGGGAGGCAGCAGUGGGGAAUAUUGCACAAUGGGCGCAAGCCUGAUGCAGCGACGCCGCGUGAGGGAUGACGGCCUUCGGGUUGUAAACCUCUUUCAAUAGGGACGAAGCGCAAGUGACGGUACCUAUAGAAGAAGGACCGGCCAACUACGUGCCAGCAGCCGCGGUAAUACGUAGGGUCCGAGCGUUGUCCGGAAUUACUGGGCGUAAAGAGCUCGUAGGUGGUUUGUCGCGUUGUUCGUGAAAACUCACAGCUUAACUGUGGGCGUGCGGGCGAUACGGGCAGACUAGAGUACUGCAGGGGAGACUGGAAUUCCUGGUGUAGCGGUGGAAUGCGCAGAUAUCAGGAGGAACACCGGUGGCGAAGGCGGGUCUCUGGGCAGUAAC